rnacentral:rRNA from 1 species
UACGUAGGGUGCAAGCGUUAAUCGGAAUUACUGGGCGUAAAGCGUGCGCAGGCGGCUUUGCAAGACAGAUGUGAAAGCCCCGGGCUUAACCUGGGAACUGCAUUUGUGACUGCAAGGCUGGAGUGCGGCAGAGGGGGAUGGAAUUCCGCGUGUAGCAGUGAAAUGCGUAGAUAUGCGGAGGAACACCGAUGGCGAAGGCAAUCCCCUGGGCCUGCACUGACGCUCAUGCACGAAAGCGUGGGGAGCAAACAGG